AUGGCAGAAAUUGGAAAGAGGACACCCAAAGUUGGUAUGAGGUUCAGAGAUUCGGAAGAGGCUUGGGAGUUUUGGGUAGAUUAUGGGGGUCACAUUGGCUUCGAUGUGAGGAAAAGAUCCACAAUCAAAAGCAGAUGUGAUGGUGUGAUUACUUCACGCUGGUUUGUUUGUUCCAAUGAAGGCCAUCGAAGGAAAAACCAAACAGAUCAUGAGCCAAAGCGUAUUAGAGCAGAAACAAGAACCAAUUGUAAGGCUCAUGUGAUUGUUACAUAUGAUCGAGUUGCCAACAAUUUUGAAGUCACCGAAGUUGAUUUGGAGCACAAUCACCGCCUUCAAUUGCCACAAACCUGCCACUUGUUAGCAUCACAAAGGAAGAUUUCAGAAGUGCAAGCUUUCGAGAUAGAAACAGCCGAUGAUUCUGGAAUUAUGCCAAAAGCUUCACAUGAGUAUGCUUGUCGUCUAGUUGGUGGCCCUAACAACCUUGGUCACACUUACCGUGACCGAAAGAACCAUUUGCGAAGCAAGCGGCAGCGGGAGUUGGCUUAUGGACAGGCUGGAAGUAUGUUGAAUUAUUUUCGUGACAAGCAGGCUGAGAAUGCAGCAUUCCAAUACCAUUUGCAGUUGGAUAGUGAGGAGCAUAUAGCCAACAUAUUCUGGGUUGAUGCUAAAAUGCUACUUGACUAUGCACACUUUGGCGAUGUUGUCACAUUUGACACUACAUUUGGCACAAACAAAGAGUAUAGGCCAUUUGGUAUUUUUCUUGGGCUGAACCAGUUCAGAAAAACAACCAUUUUUGGUGCUGCAUUGAUGUUCGAUGAAAGAUUUGCUGUUGCUAUUGCGAGGUUGCAUGGAGAUUUACAGUUUGAGGAGGAGCGCAUAGUGAUAGGUGAUCCUUUGACCAAAACGGUUUCAUGUAGUUGUGGGAUGUUCAAUAGGACAGGAAUCUUGUGUGCACAUGGUCUAAAAGUGCUUGAUUUGAUGAACAUAAAGACAUUGCCGGCACAUUAUGUCUUGAAGAGGUGGACUAGAGAAGCUCGCAAUGGAAGUAUACAAGAUAGACAAGGAAGGAAUGUGGUAGAAAAUCCAAAAAUGGAAGCUGAACUUCGAUACAAGGAUUUGUCUCAUAAAUUUCACAAAAUGGCACAAAAAGCAGCCAACUCUCCACAAUGUUGUAUUCUAUUGGAUAAUGCACUUGAUUCCGUCGCUCCGCAUAUACAUGAUUUACUCAAUGCAUCCACUAGUGCCAUGAAUGAACUAUGUAAAGACAAAGAGAAUGUUGACCCAAAUGUGCAGCAAGUAGAUGAGUUGCUUAGAUCUGCACGGCUGAAGAAAAAAGAGGUUCAGUCAAAGAACUUAAGGAGAUAG
rnacentral:rRNA from 1 species